AGGAGCCGUAUGAGAUGAAAAUCUCAUGUACGGUUCUGUAACGGAGAUUCUUUGAAUUCAAUCAUAGAUGAUGGAAUCAUCAAAGAUUUGACCUUUUCAAACUCUGC
rnacentral:ncRNA from 1 species